UCCGUAGGUGAACCUGCGGAAGGAUCAUUACCGAGUGAGGGCCCUCUGGGUCCAACCUCCCACCCGUGUUUAUUUUACCUUGUUGCUUCGGCGGGCCCGCCUUAACUGGCCGCCGGGGGGCUUACGCCCCCGGGCCCGCGCCCGCCGAAGACACCCUCGAACUCUGUCUAAAGAUUGAAGUCUGAGUGAAAAUAUAAAUUAUUUAAAACUUUCAACAACGGAUCUCUUGGUUCCGGCAUCGAUGAAGAACGCAGCGAAAUGCGAUACGUAAUGUGAAUUGCAAAUUCAGUGAAUCAUCGAGUCUUUGAACGCACAUUGCGCCCCCUGGUAUUCCGGGGGGCAUGCCUGUCCGAGCGUCAUUGCUGCCCUCAAGCCCGGCUUGUGUGUUGGGCCCCGUCCCCCGAUCUCCGGGGGACGGGCCCGAAAGGCAGCGGCGGCACCGCGUCCGGUCCUCGAGCGUAUGGGGCUUUGUCACCCGCUCUGUAGGCCCGGCCGGCGCUUGCCGAUCAACCCAAAUUUUUAUCCAGGUUGACCUCGGAUCAGGUAGGGAUACCCGCUGAACUUAAGCAUAUCAAUAAGCGGAGGA
rnacentral:rRNA from 1 species